ensembl:lncRNA
AUGCACAAACCAGAAGCAACAAUAUCUGCAGAGAAGGGUUGGCCAUUCUCAAAACAUAAAAUAGGCCUAUUGUUUAUGAAUAGGCUACAUUCUGUGAAAAUUUAUAUUUCACACUCUAAAAAAAUAUUGUAUGGACGCAACAAAAUAAAACGGCCGACGCUCCACUCAGCUUCAACUUUAUUUUAUUUAUUUAUUUAUUUUUAUUUUAUUUUUAUAGGCUACAUUAUGAAAAUAACAUUUCAACUUUAUCCACGGAGCAAGUGCGGAGCAGUGUUUCUGGUAUCAGUGAGCGCGGAGCGGAUUGAUUAUUAAAUGCUCGAGCGCGGAGGGGAAAUUGUAUGAUUGCAUGAUGAGCUAGUAUUAAAAAAUAAAUAAAAUAAAGGUAUUUCCAGCAUUAAGGUAAUAACGUUACUGCUUUUUAUUAAUCAUCUUGUCUCAGUUAUAAAUUUGACUGGUAAAUGAUAAAGAAUUAUAUUAAAACUUGUCUUGAACAAUUUCUUUGUCAUUUGAAUAUUGAUUUUAAGUAUGGCGGCAAAAAAAAAAAAAACAAAACAAAAAAAAAAACAAUUUAAAUCGUAAAACGGAUUUUUUUGUGAAAAAAAUCUGGGAUUUUUUUUAGGCCAUAAGGCCUAUCGCCCAGCCCUAAUGCAACAGUUUGCAUCUUUUUAUUUUAUUUUAUUUAUUUAUUAUUUAUUUAAAUUUUAGUUAAGGCACUUCCUCUGAAAUUAAGUUAUAAUAACUAAUAAACUUUAUUGCGCUAUACAGUAGUCAACAUUUGAAGUGGAUCAAACCUUUCUUUAAAGUUGUCCUAAAACCUCUUCUGCAAGUUUGAUACCCUCAUAAGACACUGUCCAUAUGAAAGAGCAAGAAAUUCACACCUUUAUCUCGACCCCCACAAGCUAUACAGAACUACCCCACAGCCCCCUCCAGCUGAACUGAACUCGGUCUGUUUUUGGGCUGUGAGGAACGGUGUGUUGUUACUGGGUUGAAACAUGCCUGCACUCACAGCAGCCCUACUCUUUUUAUUCAUUAUUUUCUCGCAGCCCAUAUUAUUAUUUUCACUAGACCAAAAUAAUAACAAAUUAUCAAUUGAUAAUUAAUCAUUAUUUUUGUGAAAAUCAUUAUUAUUUGUGAACGUAGGCGUUUGAGGAAGGCUUUAAAACCAAGCGGAAUCCUCCGUCAGCUGCUCCCGCUUCACUGCGACCGCGAGCUCUAACUGACCCAGCUUCACCGUCCGCGGUUUGAUUUUACUAAAUCAGUUUGAGCGAAUACAACUCAUUGAUCAUGAGCCCAACAUUUAGCAAGGUGGGAAAACAUUCAGUCUACCUGAAGGAAGACGUAUUUCAUUGAGCUAAUGCUGUUAAAUAGAGAUUAAAAAAAAAAAAAAAACCUAGUGUAGGCUAUUCUUAAACUUGGAUCUCAUUAUAUUGAAGUAAAAAUCCAAACACCAGAAGCAACCUACACUCUCAGUGUUCUUUCAUUGAAAAGUAUGCAUUUUAUUUAUUCACAGGCUAUAUGGUAGAAAGUACGGAGCCCCUCUGGUCCCACUUUGUCAAAAAAAAAAAAAAAAACUUAUCUUGUGGCCUCAAGAUACUAACUCGUGGCCUCAAGAUAAGUAACUCGUGGCCUCAAGAUACUAACUCGUGGCCUCAAGAUACUAACUCGUGGCCUCAAGAUAAGUAACUUGUGGCCUCAAGAUACUAACUCGUGGCCUCAAGAUAGUGAAGUGUCUGACACAUGGACCUUUGUUAUUAAACUGGACCCUGUACUGUAGUGCAAUGUAAUACUUCACAUUCUGUGCAAUAUUCUCUGUUUUAAUAUUCAGUGUAAUAAAGUUUGCUGCAGUUCUGCUUCUAUUUAUUUACUAGUACUGUUCAUCACAAUUAAUUCAAUUCUGUUAAUACAGUAAUGUAAAUCUUGUAGGCUGUAUAUCCAUAGUCCUUUAUAAUUCUUCUUCAUAUUUUAUAGCAUAUGUUUCUGAGUUAAACAAAACCAAGUAAUUGCAAUGAUACAUAAUACAACACUCGGUUAGUCUUUGUAACGUAAAUCUCCUCAGAUGACAUAGACGCCUGACAACUUUGUUGUUGUGAUUAACGUAAACACGCAAUUCAUACUUUGCAGUCACGUGACUACCAUGGAUACCUGGCGGGCAACAAACGCUGACAAAAUGCAUCCAAGUGUGCAUCCAAUCGCACAACAACUAUCUGCCAUGCAGGCGACGAUUGUUUACACCUCAAAACACCAACUUUUGUAUAUUAAAACUGGCAAGGUCCUGUCAAGAUCCUAUUAAUUCAUACUUUGCACAUGACGUCACAAGUACUGGCUGGGAAAUACUGGGAAAUACACAUAAAUACAUACAGCCAGACGGAGGUACCGUGACCUAAGCCUAGAACGCCCUCUGCUGACGUUUUUAUCGUAGGCUACAAGGACAUGCUUUUUCAAAAUGUGAAACACUUCAAUAAUUAAUGAACCAGUCUGCACACUACUAUAGGCUAACUUAAAAUCAGAAUCAGAAAUAUUUUAUUGAUCUUUAUUGAUAUUGAUAACUCGGGGGACAAUUCUUGUGUCACAGUUGAUGUGCACAUCAAGACAUUUAAAGGAAUAUAAAUAAUAAUAGAAGUUGGUAAAUAAACAAGUAGCCUAUAUACAUGUAAAAAGUAUAAAUAUAUGCUAUAAAAUAUGAAGAAGAAUUAUAAAGGACUAUGGAUAUGCAGCCUACAAGAUUCACAUUAAAUUAAAUUAAAUUUAUGCAUUUAGCAGACGCUUUUAUCCAAAGCGACUUACAGUGCAUUCAAGCUAUCAAUUUUUACUUAUCAUGUGCUCCCGGGGAAUCGAACCCCCAACCUUGCGCUUGGUAACGCAAUGCUCUACCACUUGAGCUACAGGAGCACUACUGUACAGCAUUACUGUAUUAACAGAAUUGAAUUGAUUGUGAUGAACAGUAUUUAAUAAAUAAAUAGAAGCAGAACUGCAGCAAACUUUAUUACACUCAAUAUUAAAACAGAGAAUAUUGCACAGAAUGUGAAGUUUUACAUUGCACUACAGUACAGGGUCCAGUUUAAUAACAAAGGGUCCAUGUGUCAGACACUUCACUAUCUUGAGGCCACGAGUUAGUAUCUUGAGGCCACGAGUUACUUAUCUUGAGGCCACGAGUUAGUAUCUUGAGGCCACAAGAUAAGUUUUUUUUUUUUUUUGGCAAAGUGGGACCAGAGGGGCUCCGUAAGAAAUAAUAUUUUAGUUGAAAACUUUAAGUGCCAUUGUUUAAAAAAUGCAUCAUAGAAACGUUUCUAAAUUACUACCCCAAUUCUAUAAUGGUAAAAUUUAUUCAGGCCGAUGGCGUUUUUUAUGACAUUAUUUAUUUUUAUUUUUAGAAUAAUUGUAUCCUACAUAAAUGAGUGAAUCAAAACAAAUAUAACUUUUUAACUGCAGGCAGAUAGGCCUAUAUUAUUGUACAUUACAAAUAUUUGGAUCGUCCCUAAUUCUGUC